CAGCAGCCGCGGUAAUACGGAGGGUGCAAGCGUUGUUCGGAUUGACUGGGCGUAAAGAGCACGUAGGCGGGUUCGUAAGUCGGAUGUGAAAGCCCCGGGCUUAACCUGGGAACCGCAUUCGAAACUACGAAUCUUGAAUGCUUGAGAGGUUGGUGGAAUUCCAGGUGUAGGAGUGAAAUCCGUAGAUAUCUGGAGGAACAUCGGAGGCGAAGGCGACCAACUGGUGAUGCAUUGACGCUGAGGUGCGAAAGCGUGGGGAGCAAACAGGAUUGGAUACCCUGGUAGUCCACGCCGUAAACGAUGGAUACUAGGUGUUCGGGAAGUUAACCUCCUGAGUACUAAAGCUAACGCCAUAAGUAUCCCGCCUGGGGAGUACGGUCGCAAGGCUAAAACUCAAAGGAAUUGACGGGGGCCCGCACAAGCGGUGGAGUAUGUGGUUUAAUUCGAAGCAACGCGCAGAACCUUACCUACCCUUAACAUCCCGGGGCGCAUACAGAGCUGUAUGUUUCUCUUCGGAGACUCGGUGAUAGGUGCUGCAUGGCUGUCGUCAGCUCGUGUCGUAAGAUGUCUGGUUAAGUCCAAUAACGAGCGCAACCCCUGUCCUUAGUUACCAUCAUUAAGUUGGGGACUCUAGGGAGACUGCCGGUGUUAAACCGGAGGAAGGCGGGGAUGACGUCAAGUCCUCAUGGCCCUUACGGGUAGGGCUACACACGUACUACAAUGGCAGAAACAAACCGUUGCGAGACCGCGAGGUGGAGCUAAUCGGUAAAACACUGUCUCAGUCCGGAUUGAAGUCUGCAACUCGACUUCAUGAAGCUGAAAUCGCUAGUAAUCGCUGAUCAGCAAGCAGCGGUGAAUACGUUCCCGGGCCUUGUACACACCGCCCGUCACACCACGAGAGUGGUCAUAACCAGAAGCAGGUGAGCUAACCUUUUGGAGGCAUCCUACCAAGGUUGUGGUCGCGAUUGGGGUGAAGUCGUAACAAGGUAGCCGUA
rnacentral:rRNA from 1 species